GUGAGGAAUAUUGGUCAAUGGGCGAGAGCCUGAACCAGCCAAGUCGCGUGAAGGAAGAAGGAUCUAUGGUUCGUAAACUUCUUUUGCAGGGGAAUAAAGUGCAGGACGUGUCCUGUUUUGUAUGUACCCUGAGAAUAAGGAUCGGCUAACUCCGUGCCAGCAGCCGCGGUAAUACGGAGGAUCCGAGCGUUAUCCGGAUUUAUUGGGUUUAAAGGGUGCGUAGGUGGUUUGAUAAGUCAGCGGUGAAAGUUUGCAGCUUAACUGUAAAAAUGCCGUUGAAACUGUCGGACUUGAGUGUAAAUGAGGUAGGCGGAAUGCGUGGUGUAGCGGUGAAAUGCAUAGAUAUCACGCAGAACUCCGAUUGCGAAGGCAGCGUACUAAGCUACAACUGACACUGAAGCACGAAAGCGUGGGGAUCAAACAGGAGUAGAAACCCGAGUAGUCC
rnacentral:rRNA from 1 species